UACCUUGGCUUUAAAGCCCGGAAUUGAAGUUGAUUAAGCAAGGAGGAGGAAGAGAAAGAAGAGGAGUUUGAUUAAGGACAGGAGAGCACAGUUUCAGUAACCUGUGGCCAACAGCGGUCCCUGAAACAGAGAAUCCUCCUGACGAAUCAUGGAAUCAUGGACAGGCACUAACUAGUAGCCUGAUGCUGCGUCUUGGUGCCUUCCAUCAUUCACCUCACCUGUUCUCAUCGCGUAGCCAUUUUUUCAUCUCACGUCAUUACAAGAAGAAAAACAUGGUGCUAACUGUAGGGAAGAAGGUGGCAAGAGAAAACAAAAAUCAACUACCCCAAUCCAUUUCUCUCUUUCCCGGCAAUCCUGUUUUGAAGGCAGUCACUGCUUCUCAGAAAGGUCACACCAAAAUCAAUCAAAGGUGGGGUUGGAAACCUUUGUAGCACUAUGA